rnacentral:rRNA from 1 species
CAGUAGCCGCGGUAAUACGAGGGGUGCAAGCGUUAUUCGGAUUGAUUGGGUGUAAAGGGUGUGCAGACGGCUUAUUAAGUCACUUGUUAAAUUCUUCGGCCUAACUGAAGGUCUGCAAGUGAUACUGAUGAGCUAGAGGGUGGAAGAGAGAAGUGGAAUUCUCGGAGUAGCGGUAAAAUGCGUAGAUCUCGAGAGGAACACCAAUGGCGAAGGCAGCUUCUUGGUCCAUUCCUGACGUUCAUACACGAAAGCGUGGGGAGCAAACAGGAUUAGAGACCCCCGUAGUCCCGUCUCUUAUACA